GUGCAGGAUUAGUUACAAUGCAGCUUUGUGUGGUGCUGUAUUGUCGUUCCCCCUGCAAACAGUAACCUGUUUCCUCGCUAUCCCUGUCUGUCAACUCCCAUUGACUGCCAGGGACGCAUGGUUUCAGACAU
rnacentral:snoRNA from 1 species